CUCAAAUUGACACCGUAACUUCGGGAGAAGGUGUGCCGCUGGCGGUUAGUGACUUCGCGUCACGAAGCUGUUGGUGGUCGCAGUGAAAUGGCGGUUGUGACUGUUUACUAAAAACACAGGACUCUGCGAAGUCGUAAGACGACGUAUAGGGUCUGAUGCCUGCCCGGUGCUGGAAGGUUAAGGGGAUAUGUCAGCGCAAGCGAAGCAUUGAACCGAAGCCCCAGUAAACGGCGGCCGUAACGAUAACGGUCCUAAGGUAGCGAAAUUCCUUGUCGGGUAAGUUCCGACCUGCACGAGGGCAUAACAACAUCCGCACUGUCUCGACCAGGGACUCAGCGAAAUUACAUUGGGGGUGAAGAUGCCCUCUACCCGCGGAAAGACGGAAAGACCCCAUGAACCUUUACUGCAACUUGGCAGUGAUUUUCGGGUUGUUCUGCGUAGGAUAGGUGGGAGGCUUUGAAGCCGGGCUUCCGGGUUCGGCAGAGCCAACGUUGAAAUACCACCCUGAAUAAUCUGGAAAUCUAACCUGCGCCCAUGAUCUGGGCGAGGGACACUGCCUGGUGGGCAGUUUGACUGGGGCGGUCGCCUCCUAAAUUGUAACGGAGGCGUGCGACGGUUCCCUCAGGCUGAUUGGAAACCAGCCGUAGAGUGCAAACGCAUAAGGGAGCUUUACUGCGAGACUGACAAGUCGACCAGUUGCGAAAGCAGGUGUUAGUGAUCCGGUGGUACCACAUGGAAGGGCCAUCGCUCAUCGGAUAAAAGGUACUCUGGGGAUAACAGGCUGAUCGCGCCUGAGAGUUCACAUCGGCGGCGCGGUUUGGCACCUCGAUGUCGGCUCAUCGCAUCCUGGGGCUGGAGCAGGUCCCAAGGGUUUGGCUGUUCGCCAAUUAAAGCGGUACGCGAGCUGGGUUUAAAACGUCGUGAGACAGUUUGGUCCCUAUCUUCCGUGGGCGCAGGACACUUGAGAGGAGCUAUCCAUAGUACGAGAGGACCUGGAUGGACGAACCUCUGGUGCUCCGGUUGUCACGCCAGUGGCAUAGCCGGGUAGCCAUGUUCGGAACAGAUAACCGCUGAAGGCAUAAGCGGGAAGCUGGCCUCAAGACUAGGUGUCCCUGACGCAAGUCACUAAAGGCCCCUCGAAGACUACGAGGUUGAUAGGCUCGGUGUGGAAGCACAGCGAUGUGCGGAGCUAACGAGUACUAAUAGGCCGUGCGGCUUGACCCC
rnacentral:rRNA from 1 species